GAUCAAGGUAGCUGAUUACAGAAAUCUUGAUCUAUCUUGACCAAGAAACCAGAUCCAAUUUACUACAUCAAGUGGAGAGAGACUAAUAGCAAGAAAUAUAAGCUUUCAAUAGAGAGCAGCUGCGAGUGCCUGCAACAGUGAAGAGAGGUCAGACCUAGUUCAGGCUUACAGCAAGUAAAGAGCAGAGCUUCACUUCAAGCAAGGAAGUUGCUGUGGAAGGCUGGUUGUGAGGCUCAGGCUUAAUAUCACACCACCAAUUUACACAGAAGUGGAGUUCUGGUCAGGAACCUUUCUUGUCUGCCAAACAGGCCAAGAACGUGAAGAAACUUGACUUUCUGGCACCAUUCCACGUGAGAUGCCGGGGAGCUGAGAGCUGGGAAAAGCGGCCCUCCCACCCCUCAGUUCCUUUCAUCUGUGUGGAUCACAACACGGAGUGUCAGUAGAAGAAGGGCUCAGUGGUGAGAGAGCUAGUUUGUACUCAGAGGCAG